GACGAACGCUGGCGGCGUGCCUAAUACAUGCAAGUCGAGCGGAUGAAAGAGGAGCUUGCUCCUCCUGAUUCAGCGGCGGACGGGUGAGUAACACGUGGGCAACCUGCCCUGUAGAUUGGGAUAACUCCGGGAAACCGGGGCUAAUACCGAAUAAUCCUUCGGACCUCAUGGUCCGAUGUUGAAAGACGGCAUCUCGCUGUCACUACAGGAUGGGCCCGCGGCGCAUUAGCUAGUUGGUGAGGUAACGGCUCACCAAGGCGACGACGCGCAGCCGACCUGAGAGGGUGAUCGGCCACACUGGGACUGAGACACGGCCCAGACUCCUACGGGAGGCAGCAGUAGGGAAUCUUCCACAAUGGACGAAAGUCUGAUGGAGCAACGCCGCGUGAGUGAAGAAGGUUCUCGGAUCGUAAAACUCUGUUGUGAGGGAGGAACAAGUACCGGAGUAACUGCCGGUGCCUUGACGGUACCUCAUUAGAAAGCCACGGCUAACUACGUGCCAGCAGCCGCAGUAACAC
rnacentral:rRNA from 1 species